AGUGAACGCUGGCGGUAGGCCUAACACAUGCAAGUCGAACGGCAGCACAGUAAGAGCUUGCUCUUACGGGUGGCGAGUGGCGGACGGGUGAGGAAUACAUCGGAAUCUACUUUUUCGUGGGGGAUAACGUAGGGAAACUUACGCUAAUACCGCAUACGACCUACGGGUGAAAGCAGGGGAUCUUCGGACCUUGCGCGAUUGAAUGAGCCGAUGUCGGAUUAGCUAGUUGGCGGGGUAAAGGCCCACCAAGGCGACGAUCCGUAGCUGGUCUGAGAGGAUGAUCAGCCACACUGGAACUGAGACACGGUCCAGACUCCUACGGGAGGCAGCAGUGGGGAAUAUUGGACAAUGGGCGCAAGCCUGAUCCAGCCAUACCGCGUGGGUGAAGAAGGCCUUCGGGUUGUAAAGCCCUUUUGUUGGGAAAGAAAAGCAGCAGGUUAAUACCUCGCUAUUCUGACGGUACCCAAAGAAUAAGCACCGGCUAACUUCGUG
rnacentral:rRNA from 1 species